CCUUGGAAGCUGGAGCCUGCUUCCCGCCCAGACAGGUCCAGCCCCUGCGAUGUGGAUUUCCCACUUGCCAGUGAGUCCCUCCCUGCGGGGCCUGGAAGAGCAAUCUGGAGCUCGGCGUUAGAUCAGAGCAGGGCUGAAGGGCUGGACUGGACAGGGUGGGGACCUCAGGACAGAAGAGUCUCCGAAACGUUUGCUGAGUGAAUGAAAGUCGAGGAAUAAAGCAGCGAUCUUUUUCCAUACCCAGAAGACUCGAGAUGUCAAAAAGGCCGUGCUUUUUGGUCCUUAACAGGGAGAGCCACCAUGAAUGAGGGAGGAUCAGGAGCAGGACGAAAUGAGGCCAGGCCUCACCUAGAAGCCUGCCACACAGUCCUGCAUACCUGUGUUAGACUGUCCUGACCAGUUCAGCGAAAUUCACUCGUCCACCACUGCCGGAUGUCUUCAUUUAUCUAGUUCCUAUCCAGGCCACUGAGAUGCCCCACACGAGGCUCAAAAUUUACACCUCUUUUUAUCUCACAUUUAUGUUCAGCCAUUCCGCAAAACAACCACACUAUCAAGAAAGCUGGGUCCAGAGGAAACAUCCAUCCCUCGGCCAUAUCCUACUGAGGCCAACACUUCAUCAGAAUCCAUGAGGCCCUUGUGUGGAACCCAGGUCACAUCUUUUCAAGGUCAUUUAUCUCAAGUUCUCGGUGGUUGCAUAACCCGAGACAUUUAUAGGAGCUCCUCUGAUCACUCCCAAAAGACCUUUAAAUAUGGGAGAGCAGGGGUUAGGAUCUCACUCCCUCCUUGAAGAAAACAAGUCAUCACAAGAUACAUAGUUGGACGCUUUCUCCAUAUGACCAAGAGCAAGACUCAGACCACUCUGGACCUCCAUCCUUUGAGUAAUGUGGCCUGACGUACAAAAGAUUUUCCCUGACAGCUCUACCUGGCAAAGUACCACAGAAAAUUCUGAUUGGCCUGGCUUGGACAUGUGCCCAUCCCUGGACCAUUCUUUCAGGCUAUGGGACCAGGAAUGAUUAGCCUCACCUGGGUCAUAUGCUAACCUCUGUGGUCAGAAGAUUGGGGUACUAUAAUUAAUUGUCCUGCAUCACUAGAGUCAUGUGUUUGGAGAGUUGAAGAACUGGUUCUUCCACAGGGAAGAGAUGCAGUAGCAGGAGAAAGAGUAGACAGAUAAGCACAGGUAUCCACGAGAAUCUACUCCUUUGAUAUCCAGCAACCUACAAAUCUUUCUUACAAUAUAUACAAUCCAGUAGUAUCUACUACCUAACAUACUGUACCGCAGGACACACAUCUCUCUUCCGGAAAGACAACUUCAAGUCAUAGCCUUGCACCUGGCUCUAUGAACAAGAUGAGUGAUAGCCAUUUAUCUAGUUUAAGUCUCAACGAUAUUCCCAUGAUCCUCCAACCUGUGAAAUAAUAAUACAUUUAUCCACACCCUUCCCCUCCCCCAACACAUCAGAAGUGUAAGGAUGAAAUUGAAUAACCAAAAUAAAAUCUCCCAUUUAGAAAAGAGAAA